rnacentral:rRNA from 1 species
AUUGAACGCUGGCGGCAGGCCUAACACAUGCAAGUCGAGCGGCAGCGACAACAUUGACCCUUCGGGCGAUUUGUUGGGCGGCGAGCGGCGGACGGGUGAGUAAUGCCUGGGAAUAUGCCUUAGUGUGGGGGAUAACUAUUGGAAACGAUAGCUAAUACCGCAUAAUGCCUACGGGCCAAAGAGGGGGACCUUCGGGCCUCUCGCGCUAAGAUUAGCCCAGGUGGGAUUAGCUAGUUGGUGGGGUAACGGCUCACCAAGGCGACGAUCCCUAGCUGGUCUGAGAGGAUGAUCAGCCACACUGGAACUGAGACACGGUCCAG